rnacentral:rRNA from 1 species
CAUCAGGCUUUGCUUGGUGGUGAGAGUGGCGAACGGGUGAGUAAUGCGUGACCGACCUGCCCCAUACACCGGAAUAGCUCCUGGAAACGGGUGGUAAUGCCGGAUGCUCCAGUUGAUCGCAUGGUCUUCUGGGAAAGCUUUCGCGGUAUGGGAUGGGGUCGCGUCCUAUCAGCUUGACGGCGGGGUAACGGCCCACCGUGGCUUCGACGGGUAGCCGGCCUGAGAGGGCGACCGGCCACAUUGGGACUGAGAUACGGCCCAGACUCCUACGGGAGGCAGCAGUGGGGAAUAUUGCACAAUGGGCGCAAGCCUGAUGCAGCGACGCCGCGUGAGGGAUGGAGGCCUUCGGGUUGUAAACCUCUUUUAUCGGGGAGCAAGCGAGAGUGAGUUUACCCGUUGAAUAAGCACCGGCUAACUACGUGCCAGCAGCCGCGGUAAUACGUAGGGUGCAAGCGUUAUCCGGAAUUAUUGGGCGUAAAGGGCUCGUAGGCGGUUCGUCGCGUCCGGUGUGAAAGUCCAUCGCUUAACGGUGGAUCCGCGCCGGGUACGGGCGGGCUUGAGUGCGGUAGGGGAGACUGGAAUUCCCGGUGUAACGGUGGAAUGUGUANAUAUCGGGAA